rnacentral:tRNA from 1 species
UGGCUGAGCGGUAAAGCGCGUGGCUUCUGAACAGGUGGUCCCGGGUUCGAAUCCUGG